UACGGGGGGGGCAAGCGUUGUUCGGAAUUACUGGGCGUAAAGGGUUCGUAGGUGGCCUGCUAAGUCAAACGUGAAAUCCCUCAGCUCAACUGGGGAACUGCGUCUGAGACUGGUGGGCUUGAGUGCAGGAGAGGAACGCGGAAUUCCAGGUGUAGCGGUGAAAUGCGUAGAUAUCUGGAGGAACACCGGUGGCGAAGGCGGCGUUCUGGACUGCUACUGACACUGAGGAACGAAAGCCAGGGGAGCAAACGGG
rnacentral:rRNA from 1 species